CUAUAUAGGUCAACUUAUCAAGAUUUUGAAAAACCGGGCAGCAUUCCUGAAAGACAAAGAACAGGAUUAAGCGGCUGUUUGCAAAGACUAAAUAUGUACCGGUACCUUUUUAAAGAUCACAUGUAGAGAGAGGAAUUUGCUUAGGCACACCAUGCUGGAGGGAUUUAUCAGGGUAUUUAUUCUUUAAGAAGAAUUAAAACAAAGAAGUCCAAGUGACCCAAAUGCCAA